GGCGCGACCUGGUGUGGAUCUGCCGGAGCUCGCAGACCGGUCGUUGGUCGAGCUCUACCGUGGUAUAUAAUUCCCCCCUCAAGCCUCGCCUCCUCCUCAACCACCCGCGCCGCCACCGGAGAAACCACGGAGUAGAGAGAAAGAGAGCUCGUCAUCGCGAGAAAAGGGUGAGAUAGACGCCACCGAUGCACUCGUGUGUGCCCAACCAUUCAGGCCCCACUGCUGGCGCUGAACCUUUCUAAGGCCUCCUUGGGUUGUUGCGCGGUGACCUUGGACACGGAGGCGACCUAGGAUCUCGGGGAUUCCUCGCCGGAAUUGGAGAAGCCGUCGUGCUCAUGCUCUGCCGUGGCCAGGGAUAGCGGCGCUGCGAUUCACGACGGGCAAGCAACUAAGGACCCAGGUGCUCAGCAGUUGGAAAAUACUGAGCAGGAGCUUGUUGAAGGUGAAGAGCAGGUAGCCUAGGAGGAGGUCUACUAUGAGGAGUACGAGCUUGUCUAGGAGGUGUCUCCCAGUCAGCUUUAUGGCGCCAAGGAAUAAUUAUUAGUUCGCUUUAUUGUUAUCAUUUAUUUUUGUAAGACACUUCCGCAAUGUAAUAAUGUUUAUGACAUUUAUCUCUAUACACUUGUCAUUAUUUGUGUUUUUCUUUGGCGCACAUAAGAUACGCACCCGACUUUAUCCCU
rnacentral:lncRNA from 7 species